GACACGUUGUGUUUCUGUUCCGACAUUUUGCAACCAAACAAUUCUGUUACUGUCUGUUUCCAGAACUUCUCCCCGGAGACGUAAGGAGAAAUAGCCACCAAACGAUCUAGGGAUCUUUACGGUUCUGCGAUUCGCCGAUAGUUGAAAGCUUUUUCAAGAGACUUCAAUGGUGAGCCAAGGAAUGGUGUCUCUCACCAAGUCUCUAUGCAUCACAACUCCAAGAAUCCGCCUCAAGAAUCCCAAGAUGAUGCAGAACCUAAAGUCCCGGUCUUCUCAUCAUCUCCGUGUCUUAUGCACAAAGAUGUCUCAGUGGGAACCAUCACCUUUCAUCCGUUCUUCUUCUGCACAAGAAGCUGGUAAUAUAGUAUUAGAAAAAACCGCAAAUGUGUUCGAGUCUAUCGUAUCCGAAACUGCAGAGGAGGAGGAGGAGGAGAAAGUAGAUUCGUCUCAAACUACCAACUCUCACCAAGUUGAGGUUUUUAAAUGGCCAAUAUGGCUAUUAGGUCCAUCUGUUCUACUCACAAGCGGCAUGGCACCUACACUAUGGCUACCGUUGUCAUCGGUUUUCGUCGGUUCGAAUGUGGUUAGUGUGCUUUCCUUGAUCGGUUUGGAUUGUAUAUUCAACCUCGGAGCUACCCUUUCUUGUUGAUGGCUGACUCUUGCGCACGUCCUAAAGAUCCAUCAGUGUCCUGCAAGAGCAAACCACCGUUUAGCUACAAGUUCUGGAAUGUUUUCGCUCUCUUAACCGGGUUUCUCGUCCCAACGCUACUUCUCUUCGGAUCCCAAACCGGUUUACUCGGUUCACUCCAGCCUGAGCUUCCUUUCAUCUCCUCAGCUGUUCUCCUCUUCCCCUACUUCAUCCUCCUCGCGGUUCAGACGUUGACGGAGAUCCUCACGUGGAGCUGGCAGUCACCGGUGUGGCUAGUGACACCGGUCGUCUACGAGGCUUACCGUGUUCUGCAGCUGAUGAGAGGGUUGAAGCUAAGCGCAGAGGUGAAUGCGCCGGUUUGGGUGGUUCAUAUGAUCCGUGGGCUUGUGUCUUGGUGGGUGUUGAUAUUGGGGAUGCAACUCAUGAGAGUUGCUUGGUUUGCUGGUUAUGCAUCUAGAACAACAAGAGCAAAUCAGCAACCAGAAUUGUCUGUUGCUUCUAAGUAAAAGAUAGAUAUGUAUAACUCUCUUUUACUAUAUACUCCCUCCGUUUCAUAUUAAUUGUCGUUCUAAGUUUAUGCACACAUAUUAAGAAAACAUUUAAUUUUA